UACAGAGGUGGCAAGCGUUGUUCGGAAUCACUGGGCUUAAAGCGCGUGUAGGCGGCUCGAAAAGCGUCGCGUGAAAUCCCGUAGCUCAACUGCGGAACUGCGCGGCGAACUCCCGAGCUUGAGGCUGGUAGAGGUGCCUGGAACUCUAGGUGGAGCGGUGAAAUGCGUAGAUAUCUAGAGGAACGCCGGAGGCGAAAGCGGGGCACUGGGCCGGUUCUGACGCUGAGACGCGAAAGCGUGGGGAGCAAACAGG
rnacentral:rRNA from 1 species